rnacentral:rRNA from 1 species
AACGAACGCUGGCGGCGUGCCUAACACAUGCAAGUCGAGCGCGAAAGUCCUUCGGGAUGAGUAGAGCGGCGCACGGGUGAGUAACACGUGGGUAAUCUGCCUUUAGGCCUGGGAUAACUCGGGGAAACUCGAGCUAAUACCGGAUAAGACCACGCGACGAGAGUUGCGCGGGAAAAGCGGGGGAUCUCUUCGGAGACCUCGCACCAAACGAUGAGACCGCGUCCCAUCAGCUAGUUGGUAGGGUAAUGGCCUACCAAGGCGAAGACGGGUAGCUGGUCUGGGAGGAUGAUCAGCCACACUGGAACUGAGACACGGUCCAGACUCCUACGGGAGGCAGCAGUGGGGAAUAUUGCGCAAUGGGCGAAAGCCUGACGCAGCAACGCCGUGUGAAUGAUGAAGGCCUUCGGGUCGUAAAGCUCUGUCGGCAGGAACGAAGGGUGGGUGUUUUAAUAAAGCAUCCAUUUGACGGUACCUGCAAAGGAAGCACCGGCUAACUCUGUGCCAGCCGCCGCGGUAAAAC